ACUCCUACGGGAGGCAGCAGUAGGGAAUCUUCCACAAUGGACGAAAGUCUGAUGGAGCAACGCCGCGUGAGUGAAGAAGGGUUUCGGCUCGUAAAACUCUGUUGUUAAAGAAGAACAUAUCUGAGAGUAACUGUUCAGGUAUUGACGGUAUUUAACCAGAAAGCCACGGCUAACUACGUGCCAGCAGCCGCGGUAAUACGUAGGUGGCAAGCGUUGUCCGGAUUUAUUGGGCGUAAAGCGAGCGCAGGUCGGUUUUUAAGUCUGAUGUGAAAGCCUUCGGCUCAACCGAAGAAGUGCAUCGGAAACUGGGAAACUUGAGUGCAGAAGAGGACAGUGGAACUCCAUGUGUAGCGGUGAAAUGCGUAGAUAUAUAGAAGAACACCAGUGGCGAAGGCGGCUGUCUGGUCUGUAACUGACGCUGAGGCUCGAAAGUAUGGGUAGCAAACAGGAUUAAGAUA
rnacentral:rRNA from 1 species